GAUGAACGCUGGCGGCGUGCCUAAUACAUGCAAGUCGAGCGAACAGACGAGGAGCUUGCUCCUCUGACGUUAGCGGCGGACGGGUGAGUAACACGUGGAUAACCUACCUAUAAGACUGGGAUAACUUCGGGAAACCGGAGCUAAUACCGGAUAAUAUAUUGAACCGCAUGGUUCAAUAGUGAAAGACGGUUUUGCUGUCACUUAUAGAUGGAUCCGCGCCGCAUUAGAUAGUUGGUAAGGUAACGGCUUACCAAGGCAACGAUGCGUAGCCGACCUGAGAGGGUGAUCGGCCACACUGGAACGGAGACACGGUCCAGACUCCUACGGGAGGCAGCAGUAGGGAAUCUUCCGCAAUGGGCGAAAGCCUGACGGAGCAACGCCGCGUGAGUGAUGAAGGUCUUCGGAUCGUAAAACUCUGUUAUUAGGGAAGAACAAAUGUGUAAGUAACUAUGCACGUCUUGACGGUACCUAAUCAGAAAGCCACGGCUAACUACGUG
rnacentral:rRNA from 1 species